rnacentral:rRNA from 1 species
GAUGAACGCUAGCGGGAGGCUUAACACAUGCAAGUCGAGGGGCAGCAUAGGGUAGCAAUACUCUGACGGCGACCGGCAAACGGGUGAGUAACGCGUAUGCAACCUACCCUGUACAGGGGGAUAACCCGGAGAAAUUCGGACUAAUAUCCCGUAAUAAUAUCCGGAGGCAUCUUUGGAUAUUUAAAGUUCCGACGGUACGGGAUGGGCAUGCGUAACAUUAGCUGGUUGGUAAGGUAACGGCUUACCAAGGCUAUGAUGUUUAGGGGUCCUGAGAGGGUGGUCCCCCACACUGGUACUGAGACACGGACCAGACUCCUACGGGAGGCAGCAGUGAGGAAUAUUGGUCAAUGGGCGCAAGCCUGAACCAGCCAUCCCGCGUGCAGGAAGACGGCCCUAUGGGUUGUAAACUGCUUUUCCAGGGAGAGAAACUUACGCACGUGUUGCGUGACUGACGGUACCCUGGGAAUAAGCAUCGGCUAACUCCGUG